rnacentral:rRNA from 1 species
UUCCGUAGGUGAACCUGCGGAAGGAUCAUUAAUAGUGCCCUCUGAUGCAAAUCAUUGGGUUAGAUCUGCUCUCUUCGCAAGAAGAGGGUUUCCAUACACACCGUGAACUGUGGCUUCGGCCAUCACAAACUGUUAGUAAUGAAUGUAAUAUCAUAACAAAAACAAAACUUUUAACAACGGAUCUCUUGGCUCUCGCAUCGAUGAAGAACGCAGCGAAAUGCGAUAAGUAAUGUGAAUUGCAGAAUUCAGUGAAUCAUCGAAUCUUUGAACGCACCUUGCGCCCUUUGGUAUUCCGAAGGGCAUGCCUGUUUGAGUGUCAUGAAACCUCACCCCACUUGGGUUUUUGCCUGAGCGGUGGUGUAUUGGGUGUUGCCUUGCUAAAGGCUCGCCUUAAAGACAUAAGCACCUUGGAUGUAAUACGUUUCAUCCUUCUGGGUGGCUGAUAACCCCACAUAUUCAUGAUCUGGCCUCAAAUCAGGUAGGGCUACCCGCUGAACUUAAGCAUAUCAAUAUUAAAGCGGAGGAAA